AGAACUCAUACAAAGGAGAGGCCUUUUGAAUGCUCAGAGUGUAGAAAGACAUUCAGUCAGAGUUGCCAUCUUCAAAGCAUCAUAGAACUCACACAAAGGAGAAACCUUUUGAAUGCUCAAAGUGUGGAAGGAGAUUCAGUC